GCACCCCCCCCCCCCCCACACACACACACACACACACACACACAUCUAGUCCACUAUUUAAACUCCACGCAGGCUGGUCGUGCAAAGACAAGGCGACACCAUGGGAUCAAGUUGGAGUACUUCGUCGGAUGAGGCUGAAUCGGGUGUGAGUGCGAUGGGGUUCACCUCAGAUGGGAUAACAAAAGGAUCCUUUGCUGCAGAUAUGAUGUCAUCUGAAGCCAUCGACAACGGAGGAGGGGUGCCGUCAGGAGGCCCAGUAUCUAACAAUCAGUCCAUUGGGGCGGGCGGACAUGGUGGAAAAAACAAAUAACCAAAUAACAAAACCAUGAAAUAAAUAAUAUUGGUCUAUUAAA